rnacentral:rRNA from 1 species
CAGUCGACGAUUAAAGCACCUUUACGGUGUGUAUAAAGUGGCGAACGGCUGAGUAACACGUGGGCAACCUGCCCUUUGCACUGGGAUAGCCUCGGGAAACCGAGGUUAAUACCGGAUACUCCAUAUAUAUCGCAUGAUGUAUAUGGGAAAGCUCCGGCGGCAAAGGAUGGGCCCGCGGCCUGUUAGCUAGUUGGUGGGGUAACGGCCUACCAAGGCAAUGAUGGGUAGCCGGGUUGAGAGACCGACCGGCCAGAUUGGGACUGAGACACGGCCCAGACUCCUACGGGAGGCAGCAGUGGGGAAUCUUGCACAAUGGGCGAAAGCCUGAUGCAGCGACGCCGCGUGCGGGAUGAAGGCCUUCGGGUUGUAAACCGCUUUCAGCAGGGACGAGGCCGCAAGGUGACGGUACCUGCAGAAGAAGCCCCGGCUAACUACGUGCCAGCAGCCGCGGUAAUACGUAGGGGGCAAGCGUUAUCCGGAUUCAUUGGGCGUAAAGCGCGCGUAGGCGGUUUGUUAGGUCAGGAGUUAAAUCUGGGGGCUCAACCCCUAUCCGCUCCUGAUACCGGCAGGCUUGAGUCUGGUAGGGGAAGGCGGAAUUCCAAGUGUAGCGGUGAAAUGCGCAGAUAUUUGGAAGAACACCGGUGGCGAAGGCGGCCUUCUGGGCCACGACUGACGCUGAGGCGCGAAAGCUAGGGGAGCGAACAGGAUUAGAUACCCUGGUAGUCCUAGCCGUAAACGAUGGACACUAGGUGUGGGGAGAUUAUACUUUCCGUGCCGCAGCCAACGCAUUAAGU